rnacentral:rRNA from 1 species
CCUACGGGCGGCAGCAGUGGGGAAUAUUGGACAAUGGGCGAAAGCCUGAUCCAGCCAUGCCGCGUGUGUGAAGAAGGCCUUCGGGGUGUAAAGCACUUUCAGUGGGGAAGAAAGCCUUGGGGCUAAUACCCUCGAGGAAGGACAUCACCCACAGAAGAAGCACCGGCUAACUCCGUGCCAGCAGCCGCGGUAAUACGGAGGGUGCGAGCGUUAAUCGGAAUUACUGGGCGUAAAGCGCGCGUAGGCGGUCUGAUAAGCCGGUUGUGAAAGCCCCGGGCUCAACCUGGGAACGGCAUCCGGAACUGUCAGGCUAGAGUGCAGGAGAGGAAGGUAGAAUUCCCGGUGUAGCAGUGAAAUGCGUAGAGAUCGGGAGGAAUACCAGUGGCGAAGGCGGCCUUCUGGACUGACACUGACGCUGAGGUGCGAAAGCGUGGGUAGCAAACAGGAUUAGAUACCCUGGUAGUC